rnacentral:misc_RNA from 1 species
GAUGAAGAACGCAGCGAAAUGCGAUACGUAAUGUGAAUUGCAGAAUUCAGUGAAUCAUCGAAUCUUUGAACGCAUAUUGCGCUCUCUGGUAUUCCGGAGAGCAUGCUUGUUUGAGUAUCAGUAAACACCUCAACUCCCUUUUCUUUUUUGAAAUUGGAGCUGGACUUGAGUGAUCCCAACGCUUUCUUCCAAGAAAGUGGCGGGUUGCUUGAAAUGCAGGUGCAGCUAAACUUUUCUCUGAGCUAUAAGCAUAUCUAUUUAGUCUGCCUAAAAAACAGAUUAUUACCUUUGCUGCAGCUAACAUAAAGGAGACUAGUUCUUGUGCUGACUGAUGCAGGAUUCACAGAGACAGCUUCGGCUGACUUUGUAAACUCGAUCUCAAAUCAAGUAAGACUACCCGCUGAACUUAAGCAUAUCAAUAAGCGGAGGA